rnacentral:snRNA from 1 species
GAGCGUACCGACAUGCGGUG